AGAUGAUGGAGUGGGAGGAAGAAGAGGCACAUGAAUAAACCAUUUACUGCCUGUUCUUGAGCCACAGAUCUGACUGGGCAAGAGUGGGAGCUGGAGCCUUGUGCAGAGAAGAAGCAUCUUUCAAUUAGAAUCAUCAGGAUCUACUCUCAUAACCAUAUUUUCUUGGAGAAAAGUGGGCUACUUAAGACUAUAAUAAGAGGAUGCUCAUCAGAGUUUAAGGAGAGCAGUCACAGGGGAGAAGUAAAGUAGACCAGAACUAGGUAGGGGAACCAGUAGAAGAAUGUAACAAAUGGGGGUCAAUAGCAAGGUCGCCCAUGACAAAGUAAAGUAGAAAUAUA
rnacentral:lncRNA from 1 species